AUUGAACGCUGGCGGCAGGCCUAACACAUGCAAGUCGAACGAGUGGCGGACGGGUUACUAAUGUCUGUGAAACUGCCUGAUGGAUGGGGAUAACUACCGGAAACGGUAGCUAAUACCGCAUACCAUCGGAUGUGCCCAGAUGGGAUUAGCUAGUAGGUGGGGCAAAGGCUCACCUAGGCGACGAUCCCUACCUGGUCUGAGAGGAUGACCAGCCACACUGGAACUGAGACACGGUCCAGACUCCUACGGGAGGCAGCAGUGGGGAAUAUUGGACAAUGGGCGAAAGCCUGAUGCAGCCAUGCCGCGUGUAUGAAGAAGGCCUUCGGGUUGUAAAGUACUUUCAGCGGGGAGGCGUUACCAGCAGAAGAAGCACCGGCUAACUCCGUGCCAGCAGCCGCGGUAAUAC
rnacentral:rRNA from 1 species